CAGCAGGGGGAGCUGUUGGGCGCUGGUGGUCACUGUGUGGGGCCUCGGUACGUGGGAGAAGGCAACGAUGGUGAUUUUCUCCCCACACACCAAGAAGGGGAAGGGGAAUAGAGGAAAAAGGGGGCUCUUCCCACGAAACUCAUGCAACUGGCUGUGGCUAGGACUUCCCCCCCUCAUCGAUGGGCACAAGCCUCUGCCAACACGGGAGUGGAGGAGAGAAAGGGUGGCCUCCUCCCCAAAAGGUUCCUCUGAAGAUUGCAAUUUACAUUCCAAGUGGUGUCUGAAAUGAGAUGUUACCAGAAGGAAUGGCCAUACCAAUAAGGAGACCCAAGACUAAUUUCCUCAUAUAAAGCAUCAUCCACUGACAGGAGACUCCACACCUUAUGGCUCAGAAGUACCACUGACUCCUACAGAAGUGUUAUUAAAACUAAAAUAAAUAAAACUUUUUAGUUUCUUCCAUGAAUUGCAGCAGUGACCACAGUGGCACAAUAGGUGAAGCACUCUCAGGUCACAUUUAUGUUCCUUUCUACAGUGAUUUGGCUUGGAAAAUAUUUACAUAAAGGGUAACAAGGUGCCUGGUGCAUUCAAAGCAAGAAUGACAAUGAAUUUAUCUUCCUCUAAACUUGUUUCAGCUGUUAAAGAAGGAAUGAUACGCCUCAUGCUUGUACAGGAUUACUCACCAAUCCAACCAGUUUCCAAGAUUUUUACAUUCAUUUGUGCUUAUUCCUGAAAGAACAAAUUAUACAUAAGAUAUCUGUGUUCUGUAGAGUUUAACUGGAAACACAGAGUGGGAAAACAGACAUGAGAAAGAAUGCUUAAUUAUUUAACAGCAUUCAAAUAACUAAGUUACUCAGACUCAAUAGCAGUCGGAGUGUGGUACAGCUAAUGCUUUGAGAAGUUUUAGCUUCCUUUGAAUUUUUUAUUCCAUAUAAAUUGAAAGACAUGAUACGCAUAUUUUAGCUCAUAUUUUCAACUACUUUUCAGCAGAUAAUAUGGCUAAAGGUCAGCAGCCAGCUUAGAAGAAAGGGAAACAGUGUCUCUGUGAAGUUAAUUUGCUAGAAAGCAAAGGGCACAGUCCUGUAGUUGCUCAUAAUGCAAGACUGUCACUGCCUUCCCAGGAAGAUGGAAGAGCUCAGUGUGGAGGAUGGCUAGUAAUUUGCAGUGCUGAAUCCAUGAGGUGCAAAUCUGCCUAAUUUCCGAGAAAUUAUGUGCUAAAUAUUUUUAUCCCCAGCUGGAAAAACCACAGUGGAGAACAUUAACAAUAUUCUUAAAUGUAAAUACCUGAAUUUUUAGUUGGCUGAACCUGUCAUCCACACAGACACACAGGAGCCAAUCACUUCUAGGGAUCAAACCCAGAAAUGUCAAGACUGAAAGAUCAGACUUCCAUUGUAUCAAGUGAAAAAUUGAUCACCAAGAUGGAAUAAUUAGUUUGUUCAGUUGCUGGAAACAGGUAUUGUGGGUGCUAGUUGAGAUAACAAUUUCUGCUUUGUUUUUUAGAAGACCGCGUCUAAAGAAAAUUAGGCAUUGACCAUAAAAUUGGUUUUACACGGACUAAAAAACAGUCACUUGAAAGAAACUUUUAAGCUUUUACAACCUGAGCCAGGCACAAACUCAGAAUCUGAAAGGAAGGGUCCUUCACUUGGACCAGACACACACACACAUCACUUUAACAAAGGUAGAACGAAUGUUGGUGAAUGCAAAAGUACAGUUAACUUACUGAAACUAUGCAGCUAUUUCCUGCUCUGUUUACGUGGUGUGUAAUUACUUGGUUGUAUUACUUAGGCAUCUACAGAUGUGUAGCCAUUAAAUGAAUUAUUCAUUCUUCUCAAAAUGAAAGUUAAAAUUAUGCAUCAAAAAUGAAAGUUGCAACUAUAUAUCGCUUUCACUCUUUUCUCCUUUACUCUAUGUCAUUAUUCAUUUUUUCCACAUGCAUUAUUCUGUCCAACCCUGUAUAAGAAAAUAGGGUAGAUAUAUGGAAUCAUACAUAUCUUAACAGUAACUAUUUUAUUUACAUAGACAAAUGAAACCAUGAUUGCUGUCCAUAUAGAUUUACACAAAGCUAAUAUAAAAAUACAUUGUCUAUACUUUGAAAAUAGAGAGUGUUUAAAAAUUUAUAAGCUUUGUGAUCCUCAGCUGCUUUU